rnacentral:rRNA from 1 species
AAUGAACGCUGGCGGCAUGCCUAACACAUGCAAGUCGAACGAAGGCUUCGGCCUUAGUGGCGCACGGGUGCGUAACGCGUGGGAAUCUGCCCUUGGGUUCGGAAUAACAGUUAGAAAUGACUGCUAAUACCGGAUGAUGUCGUAAGACCAAAGAUUUAUCGCCCAAGGAUGAGCCCGCGUAGGAUUAGCUAGUUGGUGAGGUAAAAGCUCACCAAGGCGACGACCCUUAGCUGGUCUGAGAGGAUGAUCAGCCACACUGGGACUGAGACACGGCCCAGACUCCUACGGGAGGCAGCAGUGGGGAAGAUUGGACAAUGGGCGAAAGCCUGAUCCAGCAAUGCCGCGUGAGUGAUGAAGGCCUUAGGGUUGUAAAGCUCUUUUACCCGGGAUGAUAAUGACAGUACCGGGAGAAUAAGCUCCGGCUAACUUCGUGCCAGCAGCCGCUGUAAGAC